rnacentral:misc_RNA from 1 species
GAUGAAGAACGCAGCGAAAUGCGAUAAGUAAUGUGAAUUGCAGAAUUCAGUGAAUCAUCGAAUCUUUGAACGCACAUUGCGCCCGUCAGUAUACUGGCGGGCAUGCCUGUUCGAGCGUCAUUACGCCCCUCAAGUCCCCUGUGGACUUGGUGUUGGGGAUCGGCGAGGCUGGUUUUCCAGCACAGCCGUCCCUUAAAUUAAUUGGCGGUCUCGCCGUGGCCCUCCUCUGCGCAGUAGUAAAACACUCGCAACAGGAGCCCGGCGCGGUCCACUGCCGUAAAACCCCCCAACUUUUUAUAGUUGACCUCGAAUCAGGUAGGACUACCCGCUGAACUUAAGCAUAUCAAUAAGCGGAGGA